ensembl:snRNA U6 U6 spliceosomal RNA
GUGCUCACUUCGGCAGCACAUACACUAAAACUGGAAUGAUACAGAAAAGAUUAGCAUGGCCCAUGCACAAGAAUGAUAAGCAAAUUUGUGAAGUGUUACAUAUUUUU